rnacentral:rRNA from 1 species
GGCGAACGCUGGCGGCAGGCUUAACACAUGCAAGUCGAGCGGGCACUCUCGGGUGUCAGCGGCUGACGGGUGAGUAACGCGUGGGAACGUGCCCUCUGGUUCGGAAUAACUCAGGGAAACUUGAGCUAAUACCGGAUACGCCCUUUUGGGGAAAGGCUUGCUGCCGGAGGAUCGGCUCGCGUCUGAUUAGCUAGUUGGUUAGGUAACGGCUCACCAAGGCGACGAUCAGUAGCUGGUCUGAGAGGAUGAUCAGCCACACUGGGGCUGAGACACGGCCCAGACUCCUACGGGAGGCAGCAGAGGGGAAUAUUGGACAAGGGGGGCAGGCCUGAUCCAGCCAUGCCGGGUAAGUGAUGAAGGCCUUAGGGUUGUAAAGCUCUUUUAUCCGGGACGAUAAUGACGGUACCGGAGGAAUAAGCCCCGGCUAACUUCGUG